rnacentral:rRNA from 1 species
UACGUAGGGGGCAAGCGUUGUCCGGAUUUAUUGGGCGUAAAGCGCGUGUAGGCGGCUUUGCAAGUCGGGUGUGAAAGCCCUCAGCUUAACUGAGGAAGUGCGCCCGAAACUGCAUGGCUUGAGUACCGGAGAGGGUGGCGGAAUUCCCCAAGUAGAGGUGAAAUUCGUAGAUAUGGGGAGGAACACCAGUGGCGAAGGCGGCCACCUGGACGGAUACUGACGCUGAGACGCGAAAGCGUGGGUAGCAAACAGG